CGUAUCACCCAAGACAACUUUACGGAGUUGACGAUUGACGGAGCGAAGCGACGUCAAAGCGUUCAUUAAAGUCGAGUUGGCUUAGGGAUACGUUCGUUGGGUAGGGGAGCGUUCUGUAAGCCUGUGAAGGUGUGUCGUGAGGCAUGCUGGAGGUAUCAGAAGUGCGAAUGCUGACAUAAGUAACGAUAAAGCGGGUGAAAAGCCCGCUCGCCGGAAGACCAAGGGUUCCUGUCCAACGUUAAUCGGGGCAGGGUGAGUCGACCCCUAAGGCGAGGCCGAAAGGCGUAGUCGAUGGGAAACGGGUUAAUAUUCCCGUACUUGGUGUUACUGCGAAGGGGGGACGGAGAAGGCUAUGUUGGCCGGGCGACGGUUGUCCCGGUUUAAGCGUGUAGGUGUGUGUUCCAGGUAAAUCCGGUUCACUUUAACACUGAGGCGUGACGACGAGGCACUACGGUGCUGAAGCAACAAAUGCCCUGCUUCCAGGAAAAGCCUCUAAGCAUCAGGUAACAUCAAAUCGUACCCCAAACCGACACAGGUGGUCAGGUAGAGAAUACCAAGGCGCUUGAGAGAACUCGGGUGAAGGAACUAGGCAAAAUGGUGCCGUAACUUCGGGAGAAGGCACGCUGACACGUAGGUGAAGUGAUUUACUCAUGGAGCUGAAGUCAGUCGAAGAUACCAGCUGGCUGCAACUGUUUAUUAAAAACACAGCACUGUGCAAACACGAAAGUGGACGUAUACGGUGUGACGCCUGCCCGGUGCCGGAAGGUUAAUUGAUGGGGUCAGCGCAAGCGAAGCUCCUGAUCGAAGCCCCGGUAAACGGCGGCCGUAACUAUAACGGUCCUAAGGUAGCGAAAUUCCUUGUCGGGUAAGUUCCGACCUGCACGAAUGGCGUAAUGAUGGCCAGGCUGUCUCCACCCGAGACUCAGUGAAAUUGAACUCGCUGUGAAGAUGCAGUGUACCCGCGGCAAGACGGAAAGACCCCGUGAACCUUUACUAUAGCUUGACACUGAACAUUGAGCCUUGAUGUGUAGGAUAGGUGGGAGGCUUUGAAGUGUGGACGCCAGUCUGCAUGGAGCCGACCUUGAAAUACCACCCUUUAAUGUUUGAUGUUCUAACGUGGACCCGUAAUCCGGGUUGCGGACAGUGUCUGGUGGGUAGUUUGACUGGGGCGGUCUCCUCCUAAAGAGUAACGGAGGAGCACGAAGGUUGGCUAAUCCUGGUCGGACAUCAGGAGGUUAGUGCAAUGGCAUAAGCCAGCUUGACUGCGAGCGUGACGGCGCGAGCAGGUGCGAAAGCAGGUCAUAGUGAUCCGGUGGUUCUGAAUGGAAGGGCCAUCGCUCAACGGAUAAAAGGUACUCCGGGGAUAACAGGCUGAUACCGCCCAAGAGUUCAUAUCGACGGCGGUGUUUGGCACCUCGAUGUCGGCUCAUCACAUCCUGGGGCUGAAGUAGGUCCCAAGGGUAUGGCUGUUCGCCAUUUAAAGUGGUACGCGAGCUGGGUUUAGAACGUCGUGAGACAGUUCGGUCCCUAUCUGCCGUGGGCGCUGGAGAACUGAGGGGGGCUGCUCCUAGUACGAGAGGACCGGAGUGGACGCAUCACUGGUGUUCGGGUUGUCAUGCCAAUGGCACUGCCCGGUAGCUAAAUGCGGAAGAGAUAAGUGCUGAAAGCAUCUAAGCACGAAACUUGCCCCGAGAUGAGUUCUCCCUGAGACUUAGAGUCUCCUGAAGGAACGUUGAAGACGACGACGUU
rnacentral:rRNA from 1 species